UACGGAGGAUGCGAGCGUUAUCCGGAUUUAUUGGGUUUAAAGGGUGCGUAGGCGGAUUGAUAAGUUAGAGGUGAAAUGUCCGAGCUCAACUCGGGAACUGCCUCUAAUACUGUUGAUCUAGAGAGUAGAUGCGGUAGGCGGAAUGUAUGGUGUAGCGGUGAAAUGCUUAGAGAUCAUACAGAACACCGAUUGCGAAGGCAGCUUACCAAUCUAUAUCUGACGUUGAGGCACGAAAGCGUGGGGAGCAAAUAGG
rnacentral:rRNA from 1 species